GACGAACGCUGGCGGCGUGCUUAACACAUGCAAGUCGAACGGAAAGGCCCUGCUUUUGUGGGGUGCUCGAGUGGCGAACGGGUGAGUAACACGUGAGUAACCUGCCCUUGACUUUGGGAUAACUUCAGGAAACUGGGGCUAAUACCGGAUAGGAUCUCCUGCUGCAUGGUGGGGGUUGGAAAGCUUCGGCGGUUGGGGAUGGACUCGCGGCUUAUCAGCUUGUUGGUGGGGUAGUGGCUUACCAAGGCUUUGACGGGUAGCCGGCCUGAGAGGGUGACCGGCCACAUUGGGACUGAGAUACGGACCAGAAUCCUACGGGCGGCAGCAGUGGGGAAUAUUGCACAAUGGGCGGACGCCUGAUGUAGCAACGCCGCGUGCGGGAUGACGGCCUUCGGGUUGUAAACCGCUUUCGCAUGUGACGAAGCGUGCGUGACGGUAAUGGGUAAAGAAGCCCCGGCUAACUACGUG
rnacentral:rRNA from 1 species